rnacentral:rRNA from 1 species
UAGAUGCGAGAGUAGAGCAUAUCAAUAAGCGGAGGAAAAGAAACUAACAAGGAUUCCCUUAGUAACGGCGAGUGAAGCGGGAAGAGCUCAAAUUUGAAAUCUUCAAGGUUCUACCUUGACGAAUUGUAGUUUAAAGAAGUGUUUUCUGUUGGAGUUUUGGUAAAAGUUCUUUGGAAUAGGACAUCAUAGAGGGUGAGAAUCCCGUAUUUGACCAUUAUUUCCAACUUUGUGAUACACUUUCAACGAGUCGGAUUGUUUGGGAAUGCAGUCCAAAAUGGGUGGUAAAUUUCAUCUAAAGCUAAAUAUUGGCGAGAGACCGAUAGCGAACAAGUACCGUGAGGGAAAGAUGAAAAGAACUUUGAAAAGAGAGUUAAACAGUACGUGAAAUUGUCAAAAGGGAAGCGUUUGACACCAGUGUUGUUUUUCCGAAAAUCAAUUACGAAUGUUUUGUUUUUGAGGAGUUAUGACUUCAUCGGCUUGCUCCUUUCUUUAUGAAACUUUCUUAAUGCACUUUUCGGUUAACAAGUCAACAUCAAUUUCUUUUGUUGUAAAAGGGUAUGAGGAAGGUGGCUUUCUUUUCGGAGAAAGUGUUUAUAGCCUUGUGCCUCUGCAAUCGGAGAGAUUGAGGUCUGCAGCGUAGAUCCUUCGGGGUUAGAUACGUUUGUGCUAAGUUAUAGCUUUUCAUAGACAACUUGUUGACUAUGUUUAGUCUUGUAGCUUACUCGCUUACGCUAUUUUACCUACGCUUAGGAUGUUGACGAGACUGUCGAUCUC